rnacentral:rRNA from 1 species
UACGGGGGGAGCAAGCGUUGUUCGGAUUUACUGGGCGUAAAGGGCGCGUAGGCGGCCACCGCAAGUCAGUUGUGAAAUCUCCGGGCUUAACUCGGAAAGGUCAACUGAUACUGCGGGGCUAGAGUGCGGAAGGGGCAACUGGAAUUCUCGGUGUAGCGGUGAAAUGCGUAGAUAUCGAGAGGAACACCUGCGGCGAAGGCGGGUUGCUGGGCCGACACUGACGCUGAGGCGCGAAAGCCAGGGGAGCGAACGGG